GCCUGGCUGUCUCAGUUGGUAGAGAAUGUGAUUCUUGAUCUCAGGAUCAAGAGAUCAAGCCUCACGUUGGGCA
rnacentral:tRNA from 1 species